CCUACGGGAGGCAGCAGUGGGGAAUAUUGGACAAUGGGGGGAACCCUGAUCCAGCAAUGCCGCGUGUGUGAAGAAGGCCUUCGGGUUGUAAAGCACUUUCAGUAGGGAGGAAAGGUGCGUAGUUAAUACCUGCGCAAUUGACGUUACCUACAGAAGAAGCACCGGCUAACUCCGUGCCAGCAGCCGCGGUAAUACGGAGGGUGCGAGCGUUAUUCGGAAUUACUGGGCGUAAAGCGCACGCAGGCGGUUGCCCAAGUCAGAUGUGAAAGCCCCGGGCUUAACCUGGGAACUGCAUUUGAAACUGGGCGACUAGAGUAUGAAAGAGGAAAGCGGAAUUUCCAGUGUAGCAGUGAAAUGCGUAGAUAUUGGAAGGAACACCGAUGGCGAAGGCAGCUUUCUGGGUCGAUACUG
rnacentral:rRNA from 1 species